AGGAAAUAGAUACCCGGGUAGUCCACGCCCUAAACGAUGUCAACUAGUUGUUGGGGGAGUAAAUCCCUUAGUAACGCAGCUAAACGCGUGAAAGUUGACCGCCUGGGGAGUACGGUCGCAAGAUUAAAACUCAAAGGAAUUGACGGGGCCCGCACAAGCGGUGGAUUAUGUGGAUUAAUUCGAUGCAACGCGAAAAACCUUACCUGGCCUUGACAUGCCACUAACGAAGCAGAGAUGCAUUAGGUGCCCGAAAGGGAAAGUGGACACAGGUGCUGCAUGGCUGUCGUCAGCUCGUGUCGUGAGAUGUUGGGUUAAGUCCCGCAACGAGCGCAACCCUUGCCAAUAAUUGCCAUCAUUCAGUUGGGCAC
rnacentral:rRNA from 1 species